AUGAGCACAUGUGAACACACGAUGACGAUAAGUCCUGCUUUAAAACAUCUGAAGAAACUGCAGAGCAAUGGCCUCAUUCUGCUAUGGCCAAGGCCGCCUUCAAGACCACCUAUCAGAGUCAAUCCAGAUGCCAGUUGCCCUCUGGAAGGAUGUUCCCACUGAUGGUGAAUUUAGCUCAACCAAUGGAAGCCUCUAGAAAGCUAGCAUCUGGAGAACUGAGCUAGAAUCUGUAUUUGUAGAUUUUAAAUUAAUUGUGGUCUGCCACUAACUCAUCGUUUACCUGUUUACCUAUUUAUCUUGGGCUUUGUAGAGGGAACAGAUUCAUCUGUUUAGAUCUUUGUAUCCCCUUUUGUCCACAUGGUUCAAAAUCUUAAAAUACAAAAAAGGUAUACGCAACACAAAUGAAGAUAUCUACAAAACAGAAACAAACUCACAGACGUAGAGAACAGGCUUGUGGUUGCCAAGGGGACGGCGGGUGUGGGAGGAAAGGACUGGAAGUUUGGGAUUAGCAGAUGCAAGCUAUCAUACAUAGGAUGGAUAAACAACUACAUGCUCCUGUAUAGUACAGGGAACUAUAUUCAAUAUACUAUAAUAAGACAUAAUAGAAAAAAAUAUUUGUGUAUAACUGAGUCACUUUGCUAUACAGCAGAAAUUAACAUAAUAUUAAAUAAGUCAACUGUAUUUCAGUAAAAUUAUUUUUAAAAGGCAUACAAGAAAGGCCUCCCUAAAAAAAAUUUAAAAAAAUUCAAAAAAAAAAGGCCUCCCUGGUGGUUCAGUGGUAAAGAAACUGCCUGCAACACUGGAAUCCCUGGGUCAAGAGAAUCCCCUGGAGCAGGAAAUGGCCACCCACUCCAGUAUUCUUGCCUGGGAAAUCCCAUGGACAGAGGGGAUUGGCAGGCUACAGUUCAUGGGGUUGCAAAGAGUUGGACACAACUAGUGUCUAAACAACCCACCAGCACAUACAACGAAAAGGCACCCUGACGCUUUGUUGCCCAGGUACCCC
rnacentral:lncRNA from 1 species